rnacentral:rRNA from 1 species
AUGUGCCCGGACAUGAAUCCGCGAAGGGAGGUUGUAUCAGAGGAUUUAGAUGGUAAUCUUACCCCUCACCGCCUGCAUGAUGCUGAUCAUCUGGGACAGAAUGGGACCAGGAAUCCUUCCAAGUCUAGUAGCAAUAAUCUGUCCACAGACGACAAUUUCUUCUCUGACACUUCAUUGCACAAACAUGAAGAUGUGAGCACUGAUCCAUCUGCCUCCUCUGUUGAUGACCGCUCGGUUAGGUCUGGUGAUGAUUCUGAUGGGGCUGAAAGUACCAAUGGUAAAAUCAACAAUACAGACCUCCCAGGUUUUGAAAAUGAUAGCAUCUGGAUACCGCCUGAAGCAGCAGAUAAGGGAGAUGAGACUGAUAGUGUUGCCGGAAACAUUGCUUAUGAUGACGACGAUGAUGAUUAUGGUGAUGGAAUAAAGUGGGGCCAGUCAAGUUUCCCAGCCCCUGGCGAGGAACACGAGGACAGCCCCAAUCCUAGGGAUGAAAGAGAAAAUGCAAUGCUGGCAGCUAUGAAUGGGCAGCUCAAGAUACUUGUCAGUCGGUUUCUGGCCUCUGCUGGUAUCCCCUUUGGAAAAGGAGAGAGUACUGAGAGUUGGCUUGAUAUUGUGACCUCCCUGUCAUGGGAAGCUGCACUUCUUAUUAAACCUGAUGCAAAAAUCGGAAAUGAAAUGGACCCUGGAUCUUACAUCAAGGUCAAAUGUGUAGCAUCUGGUACUCGUUGGCAAAGUGAGGUGAUCAAGGGGUUAGUCUUCAAAAAGAACACAGCUCAUAAGCACAUGCCGACCAAUUGUCACAAUCCUAGGUUGCUUCUACUGAAAGGAGUACUUGGGCAUUCUGAUGUUGGUUUAUCGUCGUUUAAUUCAAUGGAUCAGGAAAAAGGCCAACUGGAGAGGACUAUAAGUAAAGUGAUGGAAAUAUGCAGUCCCAAUGUUAUAAUGGUUGAGAAAACUGUUUCACGAGACAUACAGGAGCUUCUACUAAAAGAAGGUUGUACACUGAUUCUUGAUAUGAAGCUCAGCCGGUUGCAAAGAAUUGCACGCUGCACAGGUUCUCCCAUAAUAUCAUUUCCAGAAGUUUUGGAUCAACCGAAGCUGAAGCAGUGUGAUUACUUCCAUACUGAAAAAUUCAUUGAAGAGCAUAACAUUGCCAGUGAAGGUGGGAAGAGACUAUCUAAAACAUUAAUGUUCUUGGAAGGUUUUCCCAGGCCAUUGGGUUGCACGAUAUUGCUACGGGGAGCAAACACCGAAGAAUUGAAGAAAGUCAAGCAAGUCAUGCACUACACGGUCUUUGCAGCAUACCACUUGAUCCUUGAAACGUCUUUCUUUGAAGAUCAGCGGGUAUUCUUAAAUGAUAAAAAUACUUCACAAGAUAAUUAUGCUUCUACUAUGAUGGGCCCACCAGCAAUUGAUUAUGAUACUUCUGUUCUGGGUGGUGCUAUCCCUCCUUCACAUGAUGAUUCUCCAGCACUUAGAUUAUACCAUGCCACUUGUAAUAUCUAUGCUGAUGGGAAGAAAGCUCUCAGUUAUACAGACGUAGAUGAUCCAAUUUUAGUCACAAACAGCUCUUUGGAUGAACUGAGAGAAGGUGCAAAUAUCCCGUAUAGCUCAACACCGCUCCUUCAUACCGGAAGGUUACCAUCACCGGUUUCAAGACCAUUACGGGAAUUUACUGGCAAGUUAUUGCAAGAGACAACUGAUAAUCAAAUAGAAGGCAGAGUUGAAUCCAGGAAUGGAAUCGUUAGUAAUGGAUUUCAUGUUGGGUCAAAGGUGGAAGAGUCUGCGGUUUCCAGUGAAAAUUUAGAUGACACAGAAGAUAUCUUGAAAGAAGAGAGGACUGGAGAUGUAACAGAAGCAAGUUCUCAUAUGUGUGACAAACAUGAGGAAUCACCCGUCGUAGCAGAAGAUGGAGAACAUCGCGGCACCACUAUCAUUAGUAAAGAGAACAUCUCUAACAAAGAUCAAGCCGAUGAUGCACUUGAUUCUCAUAGUAUACUGGUUUUGACGUCUAGUCAAUGCAUCAAAAAGCAGGUCAUAUCUGAUGACCAGAGCAGCCUGUCCCGUAUAAACUACUACGGGAACUCUGAUGACCAGAGCCGCCUGUCCCGUAUAAACUACUAUGGGAACUCUGAUGUGUCCUUAGGACGAUACUUGCAAGAAAUUUUGCAGAAUAAGCAGAAACCAAGUUGUUCCUCUUGUGAGGCUCACAUAUACUCUUAUACUCAUCAAAAUGGAAAUUUGACUGUUCGAACGAAGCAUCUAGUGUCUCAACAUAGUUUACCUGGCGAAUCCGAAGGAAAAAUAUGGAUGUGGACCAGAUGCCUGAGGUGUGAACAACACGGGGUAUCAAAAUCGACCCCAAGAGUGCUAAUAUCAUCUGAAGCGCGAAAUCUCUCUUUUGGGAAAUUUCUGGAACUCAGUUUUUCAAGCCACUCUGCAGCAAGAAGGUUAUCCAUAUGUGGUCAUUUGGUGAACAGGGACUGCCUGCGCUUUUUUGGAUUGGGCUCCAAUGUUGCAAUGUUCCGGUACUCAUCGGUUCAAAUUUACACUACCUGCAAACCACAGCCCACCCUCCACUUCGAAAACCCCAGCAGACAGAACUGGUUUGAAGAAGAAAGAAGACAUGUUUUUGCUAGAGGUAUGACGCUUUUCUCCGAGGUAGCAAGCUUGCUUCAACACUUGAAGAAUCAAUAUCAUGGCAUGACUACAGCCAACUUCUGCACAUUUCUACCUGUAACGGACUUUUCUGAACUCGAAGACUUGUUAAUGAAAGACAAGGCCGAUUUUGAGGAUUCACUAGUAAAGACUACCAAUCCAAAUGGGAGAUCAUCCUCAUCUGUACAUGAACUUCUUAAUAUAAAUUGGUCUUAUCAGGAUAUACUACUUGAACUUUAUGCAUGGGACCGUCGGCUCCAUGAACUUAUUAAGUGUUUAUCUGCUGGACAAGGAAAUGUUGCUAACGGUAAGGAUCCUAUAAAGACCGUUGAUAAGAUCAAUGAGGCCAGGUAUGAGAUUGACAAGCAAAUCAGCGAAUUGACGUGUGAUAGAACUAUGAAAGCUGGUGGGGCAACUGGUACCACUGAGUGCACAAGUAACAAAAUUUGCGUCGACCAUUAUGAAUCAAGUGAGAAUGCAGCACCCAUGCUCGAUGAUAGUCAGGGAGUUGGGAACUCUGAACUUUCUUGCAAUGGAGGUAGUAAAGAUGAAGGAUCUCUCAUUGGCACUAGUCAGGUAGAGGUAGACAGCAUGGCCCAAAUACAAAAAAUGCCUUCUUUUGAAGUUUCAAGUGAUACAAAGCCACAAGGCAAUGGGAUGCUGGCGCAUCCAGUUUCCAUGGAGCAGGAGCAGCAUUCAAGCACUGUCCGGAAGUUCAGAAGUUCUGAUUGGGAUGAGAGGGAAAGAUGGAUUUGGAGUUCAUUUCAUGAGUCUCAACUGGCUUACAAGAAGAACAUUCAAUUAGGAAGUUUGGAGAAAUUUGAACUUGUUAACCGUUAUUCUCCAUCUCAUCUAUCUCCCCUGUUUGUAAAACAUGAAGAGGUAGACUCUCCUCAAUUCACAGUUGGCCCGGGUGGUAAUAUUUUGUGUGUAUUGGAGCAUGAGGUUUCUAGCAUAAUAGCUCGUGCUCUUGCCAUAUCUGAGGAGCGUCGGCAGGAUACCGCAGUCAUGAAUGAGGCAGAUGAUGCCAGGAGGGAGCAUACUAAAACAAUGGAGAAAUCUUAUAGCUUUCUAUCUGAAAGUUCUAUUGGCUCAUCACCAUGGUCAUCUAUAGAUUCUGAAGCAAGCAUUUCAUCUUCUAUUUCGUCAUAUUCAUCUGGCGACCUUUCUGGUUAUGAUACAUCGCCUUUAUUGUCCUUGGUACAUCCAGAAAUCCCUGUGAAUGGAAAAGUAUCUCUCAAAGGCAAAUAUUCAGUUACUAGUAUAUAUGCUAAUCAAUUCUACAUCCUUCGAAGAAAGUGCUGCCCAUCUGAGCUUGCAUAUAUUACUUCAUUAAGCCGAUGUAAGAAGUGGGAUGCUCAAGGCGGAAAGAGUAAAGCUUUAUUUGCGAAGACAUUGGAUGACAGGUUCAUUAUAAAGCAAAUCAAGAAGACAGAAUUUGAAUCCUUCAUAAAAUUUGCCCCUGAUUACUUCAAGCAUGUUUACCAUUCUUUAGACACUGGAAGCCAAACUUGCCUUGCCAAAAUAUUAGGAAUCUAUCAGGUUAAGCAAAUAAGGCAUGGCAAAGAGAUAAAGAUGGAUCUGAUGGUGAUGGAAAAUCUUAUGUUUGGGCACAAUGUUUCACGGAUUUAUGAUCUUAAAGGUGCUAUGUUUUCACGACACAUCACCAACUCAAAUGACCCUGACACUGUUUACUUGGAUCAGAACUUUGUGGAGGACAUGAAUGUAUCUCCAAUCUAUAUUGGUGGAAGAACAAAACAUCUCUUGCAGCGCGCAAUCUGGAAUGACACAUCUUUUCUCACUUCGGUUAACGUUAUGGACUAUUCUCUGCUUGUCGGAGUGGACAAACAAAAGAAUGAACUUGUGUUUGGCAUUAUUGAUUAUUUGAGGCAAUAUACUUGGGACAAGCAACUGGAGACAUGGGCGAAGUCUUCUUUGGUACCAAAGAAUGUUUUACCAACUGUAAUUUCUCCCAAGGAUUACAAGAAAAGGUUUAGAAAGUUCAUGGGCAAGUACUUUCUCGCAGUUCCAGAUACUUGGAGUCCUGAGAAUUCUUCUGGGCCAUACAAAUCCUUUGGUCAUAGCAAUAGCAAGUUGGCAGAAGCCCACAAUGGCGAUAACCUGCUUCAGCAUCCAAUUGAGGCUGAUGCAAAAAUCUAG